rnacentral:rRNA from 1 species
GAUGAACGCUGGCGGCGUGCUUAACACAUGCAAGUCGAACGAUGAAAGCGGGAGCUUGCUCCUGCUGGAUUAGUGGCGAACGGGUGAGUAACACGUGAGUAACCUGCCCUUGACUCUGGGAUAAGCGUUGGAAACGACGUCUAAUACCGGAUACGACCUUCGGAGGCAUCUCCUGGGGGUGGAAAGAAUUUCGGUCAAGGAUGGACUCGCGGCCUAUCAGCUAGUUGGGGAGGUAAUGGCUCACCAAGGCGACGACGGGUAGCCGGCCUGAGAGGGUGACCGGCCACACUGGGACUGAGACACGGCCCAGACUCCUACGGGAGGCAGCAGUGGGGAAUAUUGCACAAUGGGCGAAAGCCUGAUGCAGCAACGCCGCGUGAGGGACGACGGCCUUCGGGUUGUAAACCUCUUUUAGUAGGGAAGAAGCGAAAGUGACGGUACCUGCAGAAAAAGCACCGGCUAACUACGUGCCAGCAGCCGCGGUAACAC